GCGGAGCGGUUGUUGGUUUAAUUCGAUGCUACACGAAGAACUUACCAGGUUUGACAUGCAAGUAGGUAGGAACCGAAAGGUGACGACCCUUCGGGAGCUUGCACAGGUGCUGCACGGCUGUCGUCAGCUCGUGUCGUGAGAUGUUCGGUUAAGUCCGCUAACGAGCGCAACCCUCGCUGUGUGUUAUAUGUGUCACACGGGACUGCCGGUCUUAAGCCGGAGGAAGGUGGGGAUGACGUCAAGUCAGCAUGGCCUUUAUAUCCUGGGCUACACACACGCUACAAUGGCCAGCACAGUAGGUUGCUAAGCCGCGAGGUGGAGCCAAUCCAUAAAGCUGGUCUCAGUUCAGAUUGUAGGCUGCAACCCGCCUGCAUGAAGAUGGAGUUGCUAGUAACCGCAGGUCAGCUAUACUGCGGUGAAUACGUUCCCGGGGCUU
rnacentral:rRNA from 1 species